UAAUUUUCCGUCGGCCAUUUUGAUUCCACUUUGGUCUUCGCCAGCACUUCCGCUACCGUUGAGCGAGUUUUUUCAGUUUUUUCAGUGUAAAAUUUAAAUUUUUACAUUCAAAUUUUUGUUAUUUUUGUUAAAUCAAGUCUUGUUAAGCAACCCGUAAUAUUACUUUCUUUGCCCAGUUCGUAUCAAACUUUGGUAAAAAUGAAGUACUUCAAUAACGAUAGAUCAUCAGACAAAAAAUUCGGCAUGCAGAAAUCUGGAGGAAUUCAAAAACGCUCGUUCGGCGGCGGCAGUCGUUUCGGCGGUGGUCGUGAUGGCGGAGGCAGUUUUGGCACAAAAUCCAAGUACGGUACUCCUGCUGAAGAUCUUGCCAUUCCAGACUGGAAUUCCGUCACUUUGAAACCAUUCAAGAAAGAUUUCUAUGUGGCUCAUGAUGACGUGGAAGGAAGAUCUGAAGAUGAGAUCCGCGAAUAUAGAAAGAGAAAUAACAUCACCGUAUCGUGUCCAGCUGGAUUUGAAAUUCCCAAACCCAUUCAAUAUUUUGCCGAAGCCAACUCGCCAGAUUACGUUAACGAUAUCUUAUUACGAGAAGGUUUUCAAACACCAACUAUUAUCCAAGCUCAAGGUUGGCCUAUCGCCAUGAGUGGUCAUAACAUGGUGGGAGUAGCUCAAACGGGAUCUGGAAAGACAUUAGCUUAUAUGUUGCCAGCUAUUGUCCACAUUAAUAACCAACCUCGUCUUCAACGUGGUGAUGGACCUAUUGUCUUGGUUCUAGCUCCGACUAGAGAGUUGGCUCAACAAAUCCAAGUUGUUGCCUCUCAAUAUGGUACGACCACUCACGUACGUUCUACGUGUAUUUUCGGUGGAGCUGCCAAAGGUCCUCAGGCACGUGAUUUGAUGAAUGGUAAAGAAAUCGUAAUCGCUACUCCUGGACGUUUGUUAGAUUUUCUUCAGACCAAUGCCACAAACUUGAAACGAACUACGUAUUUAGUAUUGGAUGAAGCUGAUCGUAUGUUAGAUAUGGGUUUCGAACCACAAAUCAGAAAAAUUAUCCAGCAAAUCAGACCUGACCGUCAAGUAUUGAUGUGGUCAGCCACCUGGCCUAAAGAAGUACGUACUUUGGCCGAAGAUUUCCUACACAAAAAAUACAUCCAAUUGAACGUUGGUUCCUUGACAUUAGCCGCUAAUCACAACAUCAAACAACACGUCGAUGUUUGCACCGAAGACGAAAAAGAAAACAAAUUAAUGCACUUAUUGGAAGAAAUCGGUAAUCAAGAAGAAAACAAAACCAUCGUAUUCGCAGAAACCAAAAAAAAAGUCGAUGCUUUAACUAGAAUAAUCAGACAAGCUGGAGUUCCCGUUGUUGGCAUUCAUGGAGAUAAAUCGCAAGCUGAUCGUGAUUACAGUUUGAACGCUUUUCGUAAUGGCAGAGGAGCUGUUUUGGUAGCUACUGAUGUAGCUGCUCGUGGAUUAGAGGCACUUUAAAAAAUAUAUGUAUACAAAAAGGCAUAUAUAAUAAAGGAGGUGCCUCUGGUACAUAAUGAAGAGCUUCCAUGAGUUCUUGGCCGAUGAAUCCAGUGCUUGACAACGAUGUCGGACGCCUGUUCUAUUAGGACCGCAAUCUUAUAUCCUAUUACCAAAUUCUAUGUUCUGUUUUGGUUUUCCCAUCUCCCUUUUUUUUCUAUUUUAUCCUCGGUCCAAGAGUGAUGCGAACGAGCGAACGCGUAUCUUUAAUGUGUGCGUUUUUUCGUCAUCAUGAAUAAAUAAAGGAGCCAUUCGAAUGAAACUCAAGGCACUAAUACUACGAUGUUUCCAAAGUUGUGAAUACUUACGUGUAAACGUGUACCUAUGACAAGUGGAUUCUGAAUGGCUCGCUUUGUGAUAGCUUAGAACAGGACACUGGAUCAUCUGUCGUUGUUGCCGGAGAUGUCGAUGAUGUGAAGUUCGUUAUUAAUUACGAUUUCCCGAACUCGUCCGAAGAUUACAUUCACAGAAUAGGAAGAACCGGCAGAUCAUCGCGAGCUGGUACAUCUUACGCAUUUUUCACCAGAAAGAACAGUCGAUUAGCUAGAGAUCUCGUAAACGUAUUGAAAGAAGCUAAUCAGCAAA